rnacentral:rRNA from 1 species
GACGAACGCUGGCGGCGUGCUUAACACAUGCAAGUCGAACGGGUCUGCCCUGUUUUUUGCGGGGUGGGUCAGUGGCGAACGGGUUAGUAACACGUGAGUAACCUGCCCCUCACUUCUGGAUAACCGCUUGAAAGGGUGGCUAAUACGGGGUGUUCUGGCUGUGCCGCAUGGUGUGGCUGGGAAAGAUUCACUUUUGUGGUGUUUUGGUGGGGGAUGGGCUCGCGGCCUAUCAGCUUGUUGGUGGGGUGAUGGCCUGCCAAGGCUUUGACGGGUAGCCGGCGUGAGAGGGUGGGCGGUCACACUGGGACUGAGAUACGGCCCAGACUCCUGCGGGAGGCAGCAGUGGGGGGUAUUGCACAAUGGGCGGAAGCCUGAUGCAGCGACGUCGCGUGAGGGAUGGAGGCCUUCGGGUUGUGAACCUCUUUCGCCGGUGAAGAAGGUCCUGCUCUUUGUGGUGGGGUUGACGGUAGCCGGGUUAUGAAGCGCCGGCUAACUACGUG